AUCGAACGCUGGCGGCAGGCCUAAUACAUGCAAGUCGAACGAGUGGCGGACUGGCGGACAAUGGUUGGGAAACUGACCGACGGAGGGGGCAAACUACUGAAAACGGUAGCUAAUAUCGCCAACCAUCGGAUGUGCCCUGAGGGCAUUAGCGAGUCGGUGGGGUAACGGCUCACCGAGGCGACCAUCCCUAGCUGGUCUGAGAGGAUGACCAGCCACACUGGGACUGAGACACGGUCCAGACUCCUACGGGAGGCAGCAGUGGGGAAUAUUGCACAAUGGGCGCAAGCCUGAGGCAGCCAUGCCGCGUGAGUGAAGAAGGCCUUCGGGUUGUAAAGCACUGUCAGUGGGGAGGCGUUACCAGAAGAAGAAGCAACGGCUAACUACGUGCCAGCAGCCGCGGUAAUUC
rnacentral:rRNA from 1 species